GGUAGCCGGCCUGAGAGGGUGUCCGGCCACACUGGGACUGAGAUACGGCCCAGACUCCUACGGGAGGCAGCAGUGGGGAAUAUUGCACAAUGGGCGCAAGCCUGAUGCAGCGACGCCGCGUGGGGGAUGACGGCCUUCGGGUUGUAAACCUCUUUCAGUAGGGACGAAGCGCAAGUGACGGUACCUACAGAAGAAGGACCGGCCAACUACGUGCCAGCAGCCGCGGUAAUACGUAGGGUSCGAGCGUUGUCCGGAAUUACUGGGCGUAAAGAGCUCGUAGGUGGUUUGUCGCGUUGUNCGUGAAAUYUCACAACUCAAUUGUGAGCGUGCGAGCGAUACGGGCAGACUGGAGUACUGCAGGGGAGAC
rnacentral:rRNA from 1 species